GAUGAAGAACGUAGUGAAAUGCGAUAAGUAGUGUGAAUUGCAGAAUUCAGUGAAUCAUCGAAUCUUUGAACGCACAUUGCGCCCUUUGGUAUUCCAAAGGGCAUGCCUGUUCGAGCGUCAUUUGUACCCUCAAGCUUUGCUUGGUGUUGGGCGUCUUGUCUCUAGCUUUGCUGGAGACUCGCCUUAAAGUAAUUGGCAGCCGGCCUACUGGUUUCGGAGCGCAGCACAAGUCGCACUCUCUAUCAGCAAAGGUCUAGCAUCCAUUAAGCCUUUUUUUCAACUUUUGACCUCGGAUCAGGUAGGGAUACCCGCUGAACUUAAGCAUAUCAUAAGCGGAGGA
rnacentral:misc_RNA from 1 species